ensembl:lncRNA
GUGUCAAUUUGACUGGAUUCAGGGACAUGCAGAUAACUGCUGGUGAAGCAUUGUUUCUAGGUAUGUCUGUGAGGGUGUUCCAGAAGAGACUGGCAUUUGAAUAACUGGACCAGGAAGAUUCCCCCCUCACCCAGUGAAGGCCCAUACCAUCCAGUUGGCUCAGGGCCUGACAGAACAAAAAGGCAGAAGAAAGGCAAAUUUGCUCACUCUCUUCUGGAACUGGGACACCCAUCUUCUCCUGCCCUUGGACAUCAGAACUUCCAGGCCUCUGGACUCCAGGAGUUGUACCAGAUACUCCCCAGUUUUCAAGCCAUCAGCUUAGGACUGAGAGUUACACCGGUGGCUCCUCUGGUCCUCGGGCCCUUGAACUUGGACUGAGCCAUGCUACCAUCUUCCCUUGUUCAUCUUGCAGACAGGAUAUUGUGGGACUUCUCAGCCUCCAUAAUCAAGGUCUCACUCCAGUUGCCCAGGCCGUGUGUGGCAUGAUCUCAUCUCACCGCAGCCUCAACCUCCGAAGCUCAGAAACACUGUUGUGAGUCGAGUCCCCUCCCUGUGCUGGGCACUAUGCUGGACAAUGCAGGCACAAGGUGGUGAUCUUGCCACCCUUCCCUCCAGGAAGGUCAGCACCCCUCCAGAGCAAGUGAAGAAGAAAGAUGGAAGGCAGUCUUUUUGUAACCCAAUCUCAGAAGUGACAUCCUAUCAUUGUUGCUGGAUUCUAUUAAUUAGAAGUGAGCCAAGUUCGCCCCACACUCGAGGAGAUUUGACAAAGGCAUGCAAACCAGGAGCGACAAGACUCACAGGGCAGUGCUCUGAAGAAGCAGCACCUCAGCAAAUGAGGAGACGGAAGAUAAGCAUGCUGCAAGACAGGAUGUUAUGACUGCUGCGGAAGAGUCAAGCACAAUGUUACUGCCAUUCAGAUUCAUUUGGAAAGAGCUGGAGAGCUAUUGGGAAGGAGGUGGCUUAGCAUGGAGAGGAGGGUAUUUCAGGUGGAGAGAGGAGUAAGGGCGAAGGCAUAGGAUCUGAAAAGCCUAGGACAUGUUCGCACAAGAAAGGGUAAUGCUCUUUAGAUGGUGGAUUGUGUUCAGGGUGCUAGUAAUCAAGAUAAGCCUGGAAACUUAGAGUGGGUUCCUAUUGUGAAAUCUAAGAGACAGAUGAAGGGAUUUGUUUUUAAAAGGUAGUCAGCGGGGAGCCAUUGCUGUUUGAAUAAGGGGCUAAGAAGUCAGCUUGGGGUGAAUCAUAGUGGGUAAAGAUGGGAGAAUGACACUCGGAUCACAUUACUGUAAACAAUUUAUCAAGUAAUAAAGGGAGCCUGGUUUGAAGAGUGGCAGGAGGAAUGGAAAGCAAGGACCUGGUUUAGGAUCAGAUACAAGGGUAGAUUUACUAUGUUUGUGCAGAUGGGAUUCUGGAGCACAGGGAAUGGCAGUCGUGGAUACCUUCAAGUCACUGGGAGCCUGAGUCACUGGAAGAAGGGUUGGGCCACUACAGAUAAGAGGACCUUGGAAGGCAAGACUGGUUGUUGGAAAAAAAGUUGAUGAGACACCCAGAUAGAAGGUGGUUGUUUAUAGAGGAUUGGAUUUGGAGUCAUCUACCUAAAAAUGAUAACUGACAUUGUGGGGUGUCAUCCAUGUGUUUUUUUUUUUUUUUUUCGAGGCGGGUCACCGCUCACAGCCG